rnacentral:rRNA from 1 species
UGCCAGCCGCCGCGGUAAUACGGGGGAUGCAAGUGUUAUCCGGAAUUAUUGGGCGUAAGGCGUCUGUAGGUUGUUUAAUAAGUCUAUUGUUAAAGCUUGAAACUUAACUUCAGAGAUGCAGUAGGAACUGUUAAACUAGAGUAUAAUUGAGGUAGAAGGAAUUUCCAGUGGAGUGGUGAAAUGCGUAGAUAUUUGGAGGAACACCAGUGGCGAAGGCGGCUCACUGGCUCGAUACUGACGCUGAGGUACGAAAGUGUGGGGAGCAAACAGGAUUAGAUA